UACGUAGGGUGCGAGCGUUGUCCGGAAUUAUUGGGCGUAAAGAGCUCGUAGGCGGUCUGUCGCGUCGGCUGUGAAAACCCGAGGCUCAACCUCGGGCCUGCAGUCGAUACGGGCAAACUAGAGUACUGCAGGGGAGACUGGAAUUCCUGGUGUAGCGGUGAAAUGCGCAGAUAUCAGGAGGAACACCGGUGGCGAAGGCGGGUCUCUGGGCAGUAACUGACGCUGGAGGAGCGAAAGCGUGGGGAGCGAACAGG
rnacentral:rRNA from 1 species